rnacentral:rRNA from 1 species
CCUACGGGAGGCUGCAGUGAGGAAUAUUGGUCAAUGGGCGCUAGCCUGAACCAGCUAAUUAGCGUGAAGGAUGACUGCCCUAUGGGUUGUAAACUUCUUUUAUAUGGGAAUAAAGUGCAGUAUGUAUACUGCUUUGCAUGUACCUUAUGCAUAAGGAUCGGUUAACUCCGUGCCAGCAGCCGCGGUAAUACGGAGGAUCCGAUCGUUAUCCGGAUUUAUUGGGUUUAAAGGGAGCGUAGGCGGGUUGUAAAGUCAGUUGUGAAAGUUUGCGGCUCAACCGUAAAAUUGCAGUUGAUACUGGCAGCCGUGAGGAGAGUAGAGGGAGGCGGAAUUCGUGGUGUAGCGGUGAAAUGCUUAGAUAGCACGAAGAACUCCGAUUGCGAAGGCAGCCUGCUGGACGGUAACUGACGCUGAUGCUCGAAAGUGUGGGUAUCAAACAGGAUUAGAUACCCCAGUAGU